rnacentral:misc_RNA from 1 species
UCAAACUUGGUCAUUUAGAGGAAGUAAAAGUCGUAACAAGGUUUCCGUAGGUGAACCUGCGGAAGGAUCAUUAACGUAUCUCUGGCGGAGCCGCGUCCCGCCCUGCUCCGGCCCGAAAGGACCGUGCAGCGGGCGAUCGCGCCCCGUCCAACCUCACAAACCCACGUGAACCCACACGGCGGAAGGGGUCCGGUUAGCGCUGGGCCUCGGAAGUCGCAUACCAAACCCCAGUUUUAAAGAAAGUCGAGCGGACUCUGAGCCGCCUAAAACACAAAACAACUUUCAACAACGGAUCUCUUGGCUCUCGCAUCGAUGAAGAACGCAGC